GUCUUUGAUCAGGUGACAAGAACAUGGUAAAGGGAUUGAACAUUGGCAUUGAAGGUAUGCAUGUUGGUGAAAAGAGAAGAUUCAUUGUUCCACCAUCUUUGGGCUUUGGGAAAAACGGUAGGCCUCCAGUACCGCCAAACUCAUGGAUCCAGUAUGAAAUUGAAUUGGUUGAUAUAUGUGAAUAAAAGAGAUAAUAUACAGUUACUCCAUUCAGAAUCCAUUCAACAAAAGCAAUGUUGCCAACCCUCUUGCUGAGGUAGUUAUGUGAAGAGUUGUCUUACUAUGUUUUUCCUCCCUGAAAACUGCAUUUUAGACUGUAAGCAAAACAGUUCUCAUCUCAUGUGAUGAUAUUAGCUGAAGGUUUUGUUUUUUGCUUC